GAUGAACGCUGGCGGCGUGCUUAACACAUGCAAGUCGAGCGAAGCGGAUAUGCGGAAUUUUUCGGAAGGAAGCAUAACUGACUGAGCGGCGGACGGGUGAGUAACGCGUGGAUAACCUGCCUCAUACAGGGGGAUAACAGUUAGAAAUGACUGCUAAUACCGCAUAAGCGCACAGAGAUGCAUGUCUCGGUGUGAAAAGCUGAGGCGGUAUGAGAUGGAUCCGCGUCUGAUUAGCUGGUUGGCGGGGUAGAGGCCCACCAAGGCGACGAUCAGUAGCCGACCUGAGAGGGUGGCCGGCCACAUUGGGACUGAGACACGGCCCAAACUCCUACGGGAGGCAGCAGUGGGGGAUAUUGCACAAUGGGGGAAACCCUGAUGCAGCAACGCCGCGUGAGUGAAGAAGUAUUUCGGUAUGUAAAGCUCUAUCAGCAGGGAAGAGAAUGACG
rnacentral:rRNA from 1 species